UGUAUUUGACGCAUGUGACUAAUACAAUUAUAUUAUAUUUUAUUUUAACUUUAUUUAACCGGGCAAGUCAGUUAAGAACAAAUUCUUAUUUUCAAUGACGGCCUAGGAACAGUGGGUUAACUGCCUGUUCAGGGGCAGAGCGACAGAUUUGUACCUUGUCAGCUCGGGGGUUUGAACUUGCAACCUUCUGGUUUAAAUAAAUGUUUGGAGAAAAACAUCUGCAAAAGUAACCAUUUAAACACUUUAUCACAUAUCUUAUUAUUAUCUUAUUAAAGUUUGACCAGAAGAUCACGACCCCCAAAAAUAGCUUAAGCGUUCAUUUAAAUAAUGAUAGUAAUAAAAAAUCCCCAUAACAAAAGCAGCAUGAGCUGGAGCAUUGUUUAUUUGUUUUGUGCAGCCAGCCAGUGUCACGUCCUGACCUUAGUUCCUUUUUUAUGUCUCUAUUUUAGUUUGGUCAGGGCAUGAGUUGGGGUGGGCAUUCUGUGUGUUCUAUGUUUUUGGAUUUCUAUGUGUUUGGCCUGGUAUGGUUCUCAAUCAGAGGCAGCUGUCUAUCGUUGUCUCUGAUUGAGAGCCAUACUUAGGUAGCCUGUUUUCCCAUUUCGAGUGUGGGUGAUUGUUUACUGUCUCUGUACCAGACAGAACUGUUUAGUUUUUUUUUUUUUUUUUUUUUGGGUUGCUCUUAUUUUGUGUUCAGUUUAAAUAAAUAUUAACAUGGACACGUACCACGCUGCAUAUUGGUCCGAUCCUUCCUACUCCUCAGAAGAGGAAAACCGUUACAGCCAGCUUAAGUCAGUGCUGGCCUGUUGAGUGUGAUUAUGGGUGGCCUGCCUGGUCCGGAGCAGACCUGCCUGUUUGUGAGAUCUGUCUUGGACAGUAAUGGCUCAAUGUUUUCUAUGUAGUUAAAUUACUAGUUGAACUUGCAGGUUGCUAACUCAGGAUUAGAUACUGUAGUGUAGCAGUAGCUCAGGGAUAGAUAGUGUUAUUUCUGUUGACGGGGAUCCAAAAUGGACUCUCUCAGGAAAUUGACAUAAAGGAGAUUGAGCUUUCAGUUGUACUGAACAUUAUGAAGAGAUAUUUGUGUAUUGUCAGUCCCCGCCUGUACACCCUGUUCACUCAUGACUGCAAGGCCAGGCACAACUCCAACACCAUCAUUAAGUUUGCUGAUGACACUACAGUGGUCGGCCUGAUCACCAGCAACGAUGAGACAGCCUAUAGGGAGGACAACAACCUCUCCCUCAACGUGAUCAAGACAAAGGAGAUUGUGGACUACAGGAAAAGGAGAACCGAGCACACCCCCAUUCUCAUCAAUGGGGCUGUAGUGGAGCAGGUUGAGAGCUUCAAGUUCCUUGGCGCCCACAUCACCAACAAACUAACAUGGUCCAAGCACACCAAGACAGUCAUGAAGAGGGUACGACAAAACCUAU
ensembl:lncRNA